rnacentral:lncRNA from 1 species
UAUGAUUUUUGUUGCUUCCGUCUCGUCUCUAAUUGUCAAAGCUUCAUGUUCCCGUUGAUUAUCAUAUGAUGGUGAUUCAUUGCAUAUAUCUUGAAGCUUGUGUUGGUGUCUUAGGACGUGAUUUUCAAGAUGAUGAUCGUCUCACUGGUUAGUAUUGAGUGUGUGUUCUUGUAGGCAUGUAUUAUAAAUGCCGUUGUGUUUGGUU